UGGCGGCAGAGCGCCUUGCCCCCUCCCUGUGUUCCCCGGGCCAGUACUCAGAGCCUCCUCCCGAGAGGAGUUCUUAUCCCCACCGCACCGCACAGCCAGCACCAGUCUCCAACCAUCUGAAUGAGAGAGUGAGCCUUCAGCUGAUUCCAGUCCCAGCCUUCGAGCCACCCCAACCGAUGCCAACUGGAGCAGAAGCAAGUCUUCCCUGCGAGCCCGGCGCAAAUCAUGGAGUUAUGAACAAAAUAAAUAAUGGUUGUGUUAAGCCUCUAA